rnacentral:misc_RNA from 1 species
GAUGAAGAACGUAGCGAAAUGCGAUAAGUAAUGUGAAUUGCAGAAUUCAGUGAAUCAUCGAAUCUUUGAACGCACAUUGCGCCCGCCAGUAUUCUGGCGGGUAUGCCUGUUCGAGCGUCAUUUCAACCAUCAAGCCCCGGGCUUGUGUUGGGGACCUGCGGCUGCCGCAGGCCCUGAAAUGCAGUGGCGGGCUCGCUGUCACUCCGAGCGUAGUAAUACAUCUCGCUCUGGACGUGCUGCGGGUUCCGGCCGUUAAAAGCCUUAUUUACCCAAGGUUGACCUCGGAUCAGGUAGGAAGACCCGCUGAACUUAAGCAUAUCAAUAAGCGGAGGA